UACGUAGGGUGCAAGCGUUGUCCGGAAUUAUUGGGCGUAAAGAGCUCGUAGGCGGUUCGUCGCGUCGGCUGUGAAAACCCGGAGCUCAACUCCGGGCCUGCAGUCGAUACGGGCGGACUAGAGUUCGGCGGGGAGACUGGAAUUCCUGGUGUAGCGGUGAAAUGCGCAGAUAUCAGGAGGAACACCGGUGGCGAAGGCGGGUCUCUGGGCCGAUACUGACGCUGAGGAGCGAAAGCGUGGGGAGCGAACAGG
rnacentral:rRNA from 1 species